rnacentral:rRNA from 1 species
UACAGAGGGUGCGAGCGUUGUCCGGAAUCACUGGGCGUAAAGGGCGCGUAGGUGGUGGCUUAAGCGUGCGGUGAAAGCUCGGGGCUCAACCCCGAGUCGGCCGUGCGAACUGGGCUCACUGGAGCAUAGUAGAGGCAGGUGGAAUUCCGGGUGUAGCGGUGGAAUGCGUAGAGAUCCGGAAGAACACCGGUGGCGAAGGCG